GCAGGGGUAGCCAAGCGGCCAACGGCGCAGGCCUUAGAAGCCUGUCCCUUAGUGGGUUCGAGAGUUCAAAUCUCUCCCCCUGCA
rnacentral:tRNA from 1 species